GAAGGUGGCCUGUGAGGGUUGCUGGAGGUAUCAGAAGUGCGAAUGCUGACAUAAGUAACGAUAAAGCGGGUGAAAAGCCCGCUCGCCGGAAGACCAAGGGUUCCUGUCCAACGUUAAUCGGGGCAGGGUGAGUCGACCCCUAAGGCGAGGCCGAAAGGCGUAGUCGAUGGGAAACGGGUUAAUAUUCCCGUACUUGGUGUUACUGCGAAGGGGGGACGGAGAAGGCUAUGUUGGCCGGGCGACGGUUGUCCCGGUUUAAGCGUGUAGGUGUGUGUUCCAGGUAAAUCCGGUUCACUUUAACACUGAGGCGUGACGACGAGGCACUACGGUGCUGAAGCAACAAAUGCCCUGCUUCCAGGAAAAGCCUCUAAGCAUCAGGUAACAUCAAAUCGUACCCCAAACCGACACAGGUGGUCAGGUAGAGAAUACCAAGGCGCUUGAGAGAACUCGGGUGAAGGAACUAGGCAAAAUGGUGCCGUAACUUCGGGAGAAGGCACGCUGAUAUGUAGGUGAAGUGAUUUACUCAUGGAGCUGAAAUCAGUCGAAGAUACCAGCUGGCUGCAACUGUUUAUUAAAAACACAGCACUGUGCAAACACGAAAGUGGACGUAUACGGUGUGACGCCUGCCCGGUGCCGGAAGGUUAAUUGAUGGGGUCAGCGCAAGCGAAGCUCCUGAUCGAAGCCCCGGUAAACGGCGGCCGUAACUAUAACGGUCCUAAGGUAGCGAAAUUCCUUGUCGGGUAAGUUCCGACCUGCACGAAUGGCGUAAUGAUGGCCAGGCUGUCUCCACCCGAGACUCAGUGAAAUUGAACUCGCUGUGAAGAUGCAGUGUACCCGCGGCAAGACGGAAAGACCCCGUGAACCUUUACUAUAGCUUGACACUGAACAUUGAGCCUUGAUGUGUAGGAUAGGUGGGAGGCUUUGAAGCGUGGACGCCAGUCUGCGUGGAGCCGACCUUGAAAUACCACCCUUUAAUGUUUGAUGUUCUAACGUGGACCCGUUACCCGGGUUGCGGACAGUGUCUGGUGGGUAGUUUGACUGGGGCGGUCUCCUCCUAAAGAGUAACGGAGGAGCACGAAGGUUGGCUAAUCCUGGUCGGACAUCAGGAGGUUAGUGCAAUGGCAUAAGCCAGCUUGACUGCGAGCGUGACGGCGCGAGCAGGUGCGAAAGCAGGUCAUAGUGAUCCGGUGGUUCUGAAUGGAAGGGCCAUCGCUCAACGGAUAAAAGGUACUCCGGGGAUAACAGGCUGAUACCGCCCAAGAGUUCAUAUCGACGGCGGUGUUUGGCACCUCGAUGUCGGCUCAUCACAUCCUGGGGCUGAAGUAGGUCCCAAGGGUAUGGCUGUUCGCCAUUUAAAGUGGUACGCGAGCUGGGUUUAGAACGUCGUGAGACAGUUCGGUCCCUAUCUGCCGUGGGCGCUGGAGAACUGAGGGGGGCUGCUCCUAGUACGAGAGGACCGGAGUGGACGCAUCACUGGUGUUCGGGUUGUCAUGCCAAUGGCACUGCCCGGUAGCUAAAUGCGGAAGAGAUAAGUGCUGAAAGCAUCUAAGCACGAAACUUGCCCCGA
rnacentral:rRNA from 1 species